rnacentral:rRNA from 1 species
GUGGGUUUGUAAGUCGGGCGUGAAAUCCCUCGGCUUAACCGAGGAACUGCGUCCGAAACUGCAUGGCUUGAGGACGGAAGGGGAAGGUGGAAUUCCUGGUGGAGCGGUGAAAUGCGUAGAUAUCAGGAGGAACGCCGGUGGCGAAAGCGGCCUUCUGGUCCGUUUCUGACGCUGAGGUGCGAAAGCCAGGGGAGCAAACAGGAUUAGAUACCCUGGUAGUCCUAGCCGUAAACGAUGGGCACUAAGUAGAGGGG